AAUAAAUAUUUGUGGAAUAAGUGAAUAGAAUAGAGAGUGGGGAGAGAAGCAGAGAAUCACACUACACAUAAAUCAGGCACCAUCAAGAUCAAGAUGGGCAUGUUCAUAUCAGCUGUCUCUUCACAGUGGUGCAUGCCAGCUAUUAUCUCCGGGUUAUCCACGGAGCAGGAUUCCUAUAAAAUGACCUAAGCCGCUUAGCUCCCAGAAAACUCGGGUUGCAGCAGAGGUGACAGAGGAGGCUACUGCUUGUUUACUUACAGCCCAUGGAGCCGCCAGCCACCACAGCUUCAGCAUUAUCAAUAUGGAUUUUGAAAUCACCCACAGCUAAUAGCCCAAAUUAAUAGCCUCGGGGUGACUCCAGAGCAAUCGAGAAAGAAAAUCCAUGACUUCACUAAAGACGCCAACGGCUAUUCAGGAAGAGAGGUCUACAUUAAUUAACAGCUGUGAACACUGUAAAAGCUGGUGCAUUCAGGAGAGAGAGGCAGCUAAAAUGAACCAAACACAAGAAUCCCACCAGGCUGUCCAGGUUAGGAAGCAGAGAGCACCACCCUUGGAGAGGCUGGGCUGGAGGUUGCCCAGCUGCCCAGGGGUCUUGCCCCCAGGGAGUCAGACGCGUUCUCCUACCAGCCCUGCGUCCCAUUGCUCACAGCAGCCCCUAGGGCAAAGCCUGGCCUUUCGGCAUCAGCUCCAAGCUAUAGGAACAUUUAGGUUUGGGUUGUGCAUAGAACUCUGUGGUCCUUUUCCUCUGCCACAAAAUCAUUCAGUUCCAAUGGCCUCCUUUCUUGAGGUCCCUGCUGGCUACUUGGCAAGGCGGGAUUCCGCCUGUAAGGAGGGCUAAGGAUGCUAAAACAGUGAUCAUUAUCCUUCAGCAGCCUCUCUCGGAUGCUCUGCACUUAGGGAACUGGUGCCUAAGAAUACUUUCAAUCUCAGGUGAGAAAAGAACAUACACUUAGGAUAAACUGUGGUGUCCAGAGCCUAUAGUAAUCAAGGCAGUUGUACUAAAGGAGUGUAGUGUCCUGGAUUUGAGUCCCAUUUUGUCAUUUGCUACCUGAAUUAAUUUAGGUAAGCCACUUAACCUUCCUGCAUUUCCCAUUUGUGAAAUGAGAUGAAUGCCACCUACUUUGCAGAGAUAUUACAAGAUUCCUUAAACUAAUGCAUAUAUUAUAUACAUUAUACAUGUAAUCUGUAUCCUAAUGUAUAUAAUAUAUAUAGAAUGGUAUUCACAUUUUAAUUAUGUUUUAUUUUUCUGAGUAUAUUUCUCCCUAUGUGAUUUUAUUCAGUGGUAUAGCUUUAAAUACCAUCAAUAUGGUAAAAACUACAAAUUUUCGUUUCUAGCCAGGAUGUCCGUCCCAAACCACAGACUAUAUAUAAACUUGUCUACUCAACAUCUCCUUUUUGAUAUCUAGUAGGCACUUGAAGCUUAACAGUUCCACACCUGAGCUCUCACAUUCCAUUCCCCAUCAGCGCUGAUGGCUCAGGUCAAAAAUUGUGUAAUCAUCUUUUUCCUCCUACUCGUCACAGCCAAUCCUCAGAGCAAUUCCUUUUAGCUCGGUGUUCAAAUAGACCCCAAACAUAUCUCCUUUUCAAUUCUUCCAUCACCACCCUUGUGGACCAUCAUUUCUCACGGGGGUCAUCACCAUGACUUCUAAACUGGAUACUCUGCUUCUGCCUUCAUCCCUUCCAACCUGGUUCAAUCUCCCGCCAGCACAUUGGCUGGGUCCAGGCUUUCAGAUCAUGUGACCAUUGUAUUCAAAACCUUCUGGUGGGUUUCCCAUCUCUAAGUUAAGGGCGAAGUCCUUGCUUUGGCCUACAAAGCUUUAUGUGAUGCCCCUGCCCACCCCCUACCACCUGUCUGGCCUCUUUCUUCCCCCUGUACUUGUUUACUCUGCUCUAGGAACACUGGCCUCCUAACAUUUCCUUGCACAUGAUAAGCGAACUUUUGCCUCAGGGCUUUUGCACUUUGGUGGAAUACUUUCUGGAAUUUUCUUCCCUCGGGUAAGUAUGUAGUUUAACCCUUUACUGCUUUCAGGUUUCUGCCCAAAUAAAACAGACAAGCUUUCCCUGAUCCCCUAUGAAAAUAGCACUUUGCUUGCUCCCCUGCAUUCCUUUUUGUGUUUAGCUGCUUAUUUUUCUUCCUGGCAUUGAUCACCAUUAGAUGUAUUCUAUGUCUAAGUACCAUGUCAUUAUCCCAAGUAGAAUAUCAGAUCCAGGAGAGCAUUGCAUUUUCUGUUGUGUUCCCUGAUGUAAUCCUCAAUAUCCAGAACAGGGUGUG